rnacentral:lncRNA from 1 species
AUCCAGGGCUCAGCUGAGACUGGGGGCCUCACCACAGCCCCACUCAGAUGCCUGGUGGUUGGAUGGGCUGCCAGCUGAGGCACCUCCGUUCUCCAACUCAUGGCCUUUCCAGCAGGACAGCCUGGACUUCUCCAUAUGAGAAUUGGGUGUCAAGAAGGUGAGUCCUAGUUCGCAAAUAUUUAUCGAACUUCUGCUUGUGCCACUUUUACUGAUGUCCCAGUGGACAGAGCCAAUGACAUGGUGCGUGCAGCCUCAGCAGUGGAGGGGACUGCCCAAGAACAUGGAUACUGGAAGCACAAUUGUAACACCUACCACAGGCAUCUUAGACUGCAGUGGAAUCUCCCCCACAGACAAAACAUGCCCACCAUCAGCCAGGACCCCAAAGUCUCAUCCAGUCGUGGUAUCAGGCUUGAAGUCCAUGAUCUUAUGAUCUUCAUGAGGCCCCAAUGUGGAAAAAGAUCUUCAGCCUUUGCUAGUGGUGCCUGGACG